rnacentral:rRNA from 1 species
CAGCAGCCGCGGUAAAACGAAGGGUGCAAGCGUUACUCGGAAUUACUGGGCGUAAAGCGUGCGUAGGUGGUGGUUUAAGUCCGUUGUGAAAGCCCUGGGCUCAACCUGGGAAUUGCAGUGGAUACUGGGUCACUAGAGUGUGGUAGAGGAUAGUGGAAUUUCCGGUGUAGCAGUGAAAUGCGUAGAGAUCGGAAGGAACAUCUGUGGCGAAGGCGACUAUCUGGGCCAACACUGACACUGAGGCACGAAAGCGUGGGGAGCGAACAGGAUUAGAUACCCGAGUAGUCCCUGUCUCUUAUAC